rnacentral:lncRNA from 1 species
UUUUUUUUUUUUUUGCCUUUUUUCAGGGCCGCAGCCAAGGCAUACGGAGGUUCCCAGUAUAAACACAGCUCUUAUUUCUAGAUUGUCUAUUUCACUAAUUCUGAAAUAGUGUACAUAACAAUUCCAAAAUGAUGACGUUAAAUACGCAAAAUCUGCAUUCACUUUCCAUGUGAAGUGUGAGGGUUCACAGCCAUUUUCUGCUUGUUUCCAUAAACCAGCCCCACGAACCUCAAGGCGUGUAUUUACCAUCUUCUUCAUCUGCAGGUGGAUCAACACUCCGGCAGGUGCUCCAUGACAGCUCUGUAUGGCCAACACAGCCACCUGCCAUGGUAGUCACUAUCGUUGCUUCUCAGAAUGUAACCUCAUCCCUUUAUGGAGUCUCCCUUAUUUUCUGCCCCCUUGAAAAAGCUGUUGCCUUUUCACCAACCCUUAGGACCAAGUCCCCUUUGGGCCAUUAACAUCCAAGCAGGACUUCUUGAUAGCAAGGAGAAAGAGACUCCUGACACUCACUGAAGGAUGAGAUUAAUCCUUGCCCCACAAACGCUGACCCAGCCAUGUCGCCUCAGCACAGCCACGCUGCCUCCAAACCCAGGGGCCUCCUAGAAAAUGCAAAUGCAGAGAGAAAAGAACAGGGAUUAUGCUCAGGAUACAUACUGCCGAUAUUGCGUGCUCCCAGGUUCCAAGCACCACGCUAAGUUGUUUAUAUGAGAAAAUCCUGUCAACCUUGACUAUCUGACAAAUGCUCACAUGAAACCUUACUGGUGACAGGAGAAAAACCCAACACUAGAAGUAGGCAACAAGCCCUGCAACAGCAAGGAGAACAGCUGGAGCAGAGCUUCCAAGAGUCCCAGGACCACAGCAGUGCUAUCUUCCCAACUCCUGCAGGCUUACAACUACAUUCACUGCACAUGCUCGGUGUAAUAGAUCCCUGACUGAGACAGGACUUCCCCUCCUACCCAAGACUGCACUGUGAGGAGGAAGAUGAGCAGAUUAUUUCACCUUGGCCGCGGCACUACUCUGGAAUGUUCAAGCGCGAAGGCAAAGAUCUGGAGCAGACAGACCUGCGUCCCCAUCUCCACGGCAACAUUCACCUGCUUGGGCCAAUUCUAGCUUCACUGGGCCUCAAAGAGCUGAAUCUGCACCCUACUAACUUGGAAGAGUUGUCUAAGCAUGGCUUCUGGAAUGACCUAAAGCCGUAUACAAGUACAAGACUUAAAGAAGGACCACAAGAAAGCUUUACCGUCUGUUCUAAGGACCAGGAAACUGUCCCUAUGACAAACCAAUGAUGCAGCCAAAAAGACCGAGCCUCAGGACACCUUGAAGAGAAAAGGUUAAUGCAGAAAGGGGAACAUGGAGAUGAGGGCACCAGGGAUGAGGAAGGGAGGAAAUCCCGAAUGAAUUUUCUUUCCUAAACACAAUAAAAUGUUCCCAUAUUUCUCCUAAAGUAACGAGCAAGCAUUUCAAAAUGUGAGGCAUAUACAACUUUAACCUUGUCAGCAGGAUUUCCUCAAAGACUAUUUCGUUGGGGUGAAAAGAAAGAAAAAAAAAACCAUUCAGGGCUACACACUUAUGGAAUUAUUCCUCCCCUGUCAUUUGUUUGGCAGAGAAACCUCUGCUGUAUGUAAUUAGCUGAUUAAAUGCGGUAUCUGAUUGAACCCUAGCUAUCCAAAGUGAUCUUGAGCGGAUUGAAGGACACAUUCGAGCUCUUCGAUUGACAGUGUUUGUGCUGGGACGAUACGUCUUUACUCGAGGAGGGGAUAAACAUGCUAUUUGAACAAUUUAAACACCUGUGAUAAUGUACUUAUUCAUUCCAGAGGCGGGUUUUAUUAGCCCUUUUGAGAAUGAAAAAAAAGUGAUAGUCAAGUCGACACUCCUGAGAAAAGCACGUUAUCCACAAUGAUCUUUCACAGCGAGAAUGGAAAUCUUAUCAUACUUGACCCACGUAUGAUGUAGAGAAGCAAGAGACCGCUUCACAUGACUACGAUUUACCAUCACUGUCAAGGGUGCAGAAGCCUAUGUCAAAGACAGACACACGGGCCCCAAAACACAAGCAGAAAAGACGUCCUCCCAAGAAGAAUGUGCUUGUCCUUUCCACUCCCGCCGCCCCAACAAAACAAGCAGAUCGUGCUUUUUUUCCUCCAGCUGUCAUUACUGAUUUUAAAAUAAGCAAGGCUCCCCUCGAUGUUGCAGAGGUAUAAUUAAAGUCCUCUCGUGGUGGAGAAUGCCCCAAAGUGAGGAGUCACAGAAUCCCCACCCCAUCGCCUCAGCAGCCACAUGCCUCUCUUGAUCAGAAAUACAGUUCGUUCAAAACUCUACCCAUCAUCUUUGCUCCGAAUUCAAAGAGACCACUGAACUUUAUUCCAAGCAUCGGUUUCGUUACCUUUAAACUGGGGCAAAUACAUGUACCACUUACCUUCCAAACUUGAAACCAUCCUAUGCUAAAUAAAGUACUUCGGAAUAAAGCAAAAGGACCACAUAAACGAAGCUGCAGCAAAUACCAAAAACGUACUUCCCAUCAGCAUCGAACUGCUGUGGGAACAGGGCAACAUCCCUGCGAGGCCUUCCUGUAGAUUCUCCAUCAACAAUCUGCAGAAAGAGGAAAUGACUUACUGCAUCUCAUGUACUUUAAAUGAUACCUUUUUUUAAAACUUGUUUUUAACUAGAGGAGAAAAUAGAAUUUGAGCACUUUGUUGCCAGGCCUUAGGGCACCUGUCAGAGCUGGCCUGACCCUGGCCAUAGGCUAUUUUAAUUUACCCCCCAUCGCCACAGCUAGCUGUCAUGGAGACGCAGCCCCUGGUCAAAUCGAUCAGGCCGUGGUGCAGAAUAAAACUGCUUUGAACAGGCAGUGAAGGAAUCUGGUUUAAGAGUCAGAUAAACCUACCAAGAACAAACCAACAAAGAAAGACAGUUGGCUGGAAUAGCAUACAACUGCACCCCUUCACAUAUAAAGCUAAUCAAUUAGCAGUACACUGUUAGAACUUUUCCAUUUGCUGUGAUCAUUUUGCGGCUUCCAAAGCCCUCUCCCUUCAGCAUAUAGCUGUGAGCUGCGUUUCCACUAGAAACAGACCCUGGAAGUUCAAGGCUUUCAGCCGCCUCUGUUUUAUCCUCUCUUGGACCCGCAAAGCUUUGACACCUGUGUAAAGGCAGACACUAUACUACUUGGCUACACACACAAGAAAUAAAACCCAUAUAACCAGGAUUCUAACCAUAAAAUCCUCUGCCCACAUGGUAUUCCCAUCAUGCCCAAAGACACAAGCAUGUCUGGAGGCUGAAAUGUGGAUGGGAUUACUGGCUGAGCGUGACAGGAGGAAAAAUAGAACGUGGUGCUACGAUCCUCAGAAUUCGAACUCAGUCGACGCAUCGUCCACUGCUGGGGUGCUGAAUUUCUACUCAUUCUUUCCGUGUAACACACAGGUCGAGCAGCACGCACACCACCCAACUUCUGUUUACACUGAAAGCAGGGAAGACAAAUAACGAAAUCUUUUUCUGUCCACAAGGUCAUCCUUCUAAUCCAUGGAAUUCAUUUAAAUCCUGAGGUCCAGUUGGAUGUGUCCUCUCUAAGUAAAUCCACGCAGGUGCCUAACGAGACCUCCAACGGGGGCUUCAGAACGCAGAUGAGCAGCACCCACAGCACUGCCGCUGGUAAAUCGCUUUGGGUGGGGUAAGCACCAAAAAAGAAGCAUUUUCCUAUUCCGAGUAUCUUUUCGAGGGCAAUAAACUACUUUACCCCAAAAUUAAACUCUAAGCAAAAAAAAAAAAAGGAAACUAAUUAGGUGCUUGGGGUUAAUUUUCAAGGACUGGGAUCUAGAGUUUACCACCCACUUCUGCUUCAUCAACGGCACCACCUCAUCAUUAAACCCUUUGCUCGACUGUGCCUUCCACAGGGCCAGGAGAGUAACAAUUAUUCACCGUUCAAUCUUUCAAACCUGCUCAGCAAAAAGGACCACGGUCUGACUGACCUCACCUUUGUACUACAUUCGACAGUGUCUAUGAGGAGUUACAACACUUGAAGGUCCUGUUUAAACUGAUGAAAAUGAACAUCUCAAUACUAAGUGGAAAGUCAGCGAGAUAAAACCACCACCAUUCCCCCACCAAAAAUUUUAUCAUGUUUUUAGCCUAAAAUCUUGCAAUAGUAAUAGGGAGAUACUUCAAAACACUUU